UUGAUACUGUCAGACUAGAGUUUAUUUGACGUAGGCGGAAUGUAGCAUGUAGCGGUGAAAUGCUUAGAGAUGCUACAGAACACCGAUGGCGAAGGCAGCUUACGAAGAUAUAACUGACGCUCAUGCACGAAAGCGUGGGGAUCAAACAGGAUUAGAUACCCUGGUAGUCCACGCUGUAAACGAUGAUAACUGGCUUUUGGCGAUACACAGUCAGAGGCUGAGAGAAAUCAAUAAGUUAUCCACCUGGGGAGUACGACGGCAACGUUGAAACUCAAAGGAAUUGACGGGGGCCCGCACAAGCGGAGGAGCAUGUGGUUUAAUUCGAUGAUACGCGAGGAACCUUACCCGGGCUUAAAUUGCAGAUGCUGUAUGUUGAAAGGCAUAUUUCUACGGACAUCUGUGAAGGUGCUGCAUGGUUGUCGUCAGCUCGUGUCGUGAGGUGUCGGGUUAAGUUCCAAUAACGAGCGCAAC
rnacentral:rRNA from 1 species